AACGAACGCUGGCGGCAGGCUUAACACAUGCAAGUCGAACGCCCCGCAAGGGGAGUGGCAGACGGGUGAGUAACGCGUGGGAACAUACCCUUUCCUGCGGAAUAGCUCCGGGAAACUGGAAUUAAUACCGCAUACGCCCUACGGGGGAAAGAUUUAUCGGGGAAGGAUUGGCCCGCGUUGGAUUAGCUAGUUGGUGGGGUAAAGGCCUACCAAGGCGACGAUCCAUAGCUGGUCUGAGAGGAUGAUCAGCCACAUUGGGACUGAGACACGGCCCAA
rnacentral:rRNA from 1 species